rnacentral:lncRNA from 10 species
UCUCAGCUGCCUGCCACCCAAUUCCAUGAUGCUUGAGUUGCUUGAACUCAAAUCUUGAUCGUAUAAAAGAGGCACGAAAUCUGCUGAUCUCAGUAGAAAGCCCCUGAAAGGAAAAUGGGACCUAAUGAAAAUCUGUGCUCUCUGCAAAAGGCGCAGCCUGCUGGAGGUGGGAGGAGCCUUGGACUGAGACCUUGGGAUGACAGUGAAUUAUUUAGCUUCUCUGAGCCUCAGGCAUUACUCUUAAGGUUGCUAUGCCCAUGUCUUAGUUGAUGUCUG